rnacentral:rRNA from 1 species
CAGCCGCCACGGUAAUACAGAGGGUGCGAGCGUUAAUCGGAUUUACUGGGCGUAAAGCGUGCGUAGGCUGCUUCUUAAGUCGGAUGUGAAAUCCCUGAGCUUAACUUAGGAAUUGCAUUCGAUACUGGGAAGCUAGAGUAUGGGAGAGGAUGGUAGAAUUCCAGGUGUAGCGGUGAAAUGCGUAGAGAUCUGGAGGAAUACCGAUGGCGAAGGCAGCCAUCUGGCCUAAUACUGACGCUGAGGUACGAAAGCAUGGGGAGCAAACAGGAUUAGAUACCCGCGUAGUCCCUGUCUCUUAUAC